GACGAACGCUGGCGGCGUGCUUAACACAUGCAAGUCGAACGGAAAGGCCCUACCUUGGUGGGGUGCUCGAGUGGCGAACGGGUGAGUAACACGUGAGUAACCUGCCCCUGACUUUGGGAUAACCUCUGGAAACUGGGGCUAAUACUGGAUACGAGCUGCUGCCGCAUGGGGGGGGUCGGAAAGGUUCGGCGGUUGGGGAUGGACUCGCGGCCUAUCAGCUUGUUGGUGGGGUAGUGGCUUACCAAGGCUAUGACGGGUAGCCGGCCUGAGAGGGCGACCGGCCACACUGGGACUGAGAUACGGCCCAGACUCCUACGGGAGGCAGCAGUGGGGAAUAUUGCACAAUGGGCGGAAGCCUGAUGCAGCAACGCCGCGUGCGGGAUGACGGCCUUCGGGUUGUAAACCUCUUUCGCCUGUGACGAAGCGUGAGUGACGGUAAUGGGUAAAGAAGCACCGGCUAACUACGUG
rnacentral:rRNA from 1 species